GUGCAAGCUUUUUCGUCGAUUUUUGCCAACCACUCCGCAUCUUCUCGGGCGAAGGGAGGUUUAGCGGCUAUGGGUGUACUUGCUUUGGUUGUCUCUGCCCUAGCGUGUGCCGAGGAGCUGCCUUUUUUCUGGUCGCCUCCGUGCCGCUUAGGUUCGGUUAAGGCCGAGGGUCGAGGCGUUCGGAGAAACGAGAGAGGACGGGCGGAGGUACGGCAGCGGGAGCGAGGCGGAGCGGCAGCAGCCGCGCCCGCGCCGGCCGGACCGCCGCCGUGCCCUCGAGGCGGCGCUCCCGGUGCGGGGGCAGCAGAAGCUCGCGCGGCGGCGGCACCCCCCGUGGACCGAGAUGCGGAGGGGGCGGGGGCGUCGGCGGCGGCUGGGCGAGCCGCGGCGGCGGUGGGUGAGGUCGGAGAUGCGAAGCGAGGCGUGGUUGGAGGGGGCGCUCCAGUACCCGAAGGAGCUGAAGGGGAAGUGGCGCCGCGCGCCGAGGCAGCAGCUGCGCGCGUCCAAGGGGCCGGUGGUCCUCCACGAAGCCAUGGAGCUCCUGAAGUGCGUCGCCAAGCUGGAAAUGCCCGAGCAGGCCAAGGUCUGCCUCCACCAGCCCCAGGCCUCCCUCCGGCCGCCCUCCACCCGCCACUGCAGCUCCUUCGAGCCCCUCUUCCCCCUCGUCCUGCUCCUCGACAUACUACGGCAGCACCAAACGUUACCGGUAAUAAGUCUCGGAGCGCAGCGGAGGUAUGGACCACGUCUACGGACCGGACCUUUCGUCUACGUAUCGGUGUUAAUGGCACACGGACUCGGUAAGGAACUAGUUCAUCACUAGCAAUAACCCCGGAGCCGUUCACGUCAACUGUAAAGCUCCCUGUAACGUUCGCAACGCUUCCUCCAGGUAUAACGGCUAUCUAGUCGCGGCUGAAGGUGAACACUUGUCGUCGGACUUAUACUGUUGUACACCGAAGUAAGGUACUAACUGGUACGUGUCCCUCUACCGUGACACCACAAGGUCCUACCGUCGAGUUAGUUUCGCCUACAGUAGUACGUGACAUGACCGAUGGACAUACUGAAGGGCAAAGAACCCCUACUAUCGUGGUAGUGACACCUACUGUUGACGCAACUAGGUAAUAUGUUCGUACAAAAGGGAUAUCUUCACCGAGGACUAGACAGAAAGUAGCCUCACGGCACCUUCCAAUAGGGAAAAGGUGACCAACUUGAGGUUUCGUUUACCCAGCGGCCAUAAGAUAGACCUGCCUAGUUCGAAGGUAGCUUUCUACUUUACUACCUUCUACAGUUUCGGUAGAUGAGCUCUGACCUUUGAGCACCUACCGGGUUCUCUAUAUGGGUGUUGAAGUCACCACCAAUAGUCAAGCUUAUGCUACUAACCGAGCGCCUCGUUACACCGGUAGGUGGAUAACUUCUUACCUCCUUCGACUACAUACGACGAUUACGCUUCUUAUUCCGACGAGCAGGCCUUUCUAUGGCGCUACUCACCCUACUACUACCAGACCACCGUGAUCGUUUACUCCUGAAGUUUUUUAUGAAGAUUAGAUACAACACCUGACACUAAUAGUAAAAGUAACGGUCCUGCGCCACUAUUAGUAACGUCAUUAAUAAAAUGUCCAUUUAUUAAGACAUUAAACAUGUACGUUCGAGUUUUAACCCUACAGGUACUGGAACUUAGCUAACACUUAAUGAAAAUAGUGGUAGACUCCUAAGGUAUAAUAGUAAGUUCCGUUAUUUUUUUAAAAAACGUGGUCGGCCCUUAGCUUGGGCCCAGACAUGGCACCGUCCCAUGAUAAGAUGGUGAUCUGGUGACCACGAAUAGAUACGUUAAUUGGUAAUCAGAUAUAGAGUGUUACGAUUAAAAUUGACUUCGAUCGAAUAAGAGGAUGAUCAUGGUGACGUAAAGUCAUACCCUGGUAACUUCGGAGGGAUGCGGCUCUCCAGUCUUCGAUUAAGACCUCCUCUAUCUAUACGGGACCACUAAAAAGCUACUCUAACUAUUUUUUAUAUAUUUCCUAUUAGUUGUAGAGUAGAAGUAGUAACAAUAUUACCUCUAACUAUUAACUAAAAAAAUCAACCUCUAACUAUUAACCAACUAACCAUAAUAGACGGUAAUUUAUAGUAAUCAAAAAAGUAAACACUCAAGCUGCAUUAUUAGCCAUUCAAAAAUAGUUCAAUUAUAUCAUGUAAUAUCGAAAUGCGAGUAAAAGUUAUUGCUUCCCGUGAUGGUUACAUCUUUGGAACUACACUACGAAUCCUCUUAACCUAUUUUAUUAUUAAUGUAUCGUAGAUAUAUUACCAGGGAUAGAAGUCACUAUUAACGUUACAUCCUCAUGUAUACGAAGGGGCUAAUUUCAAAUAACAGAUACAAGACAACAGAUGUACGUCGUUAUGUUCGCGAGCAUGCUGUUUUAUUCAACCAGAUACUAAAAGCGUAAUCUACUACCAAUGCGUUUAUUCUAUUUUAACCUUCCGGGAAGUUAAGACGUAAGAACACGUAUUUUCUUAAGGGAUGUCCUGGGCCACUUCGCCAACGUAGUUGCGUUCUACUUCGUCCGUAUCGGUGGUUUAACCAGGAUCGCCGUGCGACAUUGCCGGGGGCUCAAAAUCAAAGCGGAGCCCGGAGAUUUUAGGGUACUGGCCGGGACGAGGUAACCCCAUACACUAGUGUUGAAUACAAGAACAAAACUAUUUCGUGUUUUCGUGUUGCACCUCCGUUCUAAGGAAACCAGCUAGAAGGAUAGUUGGCCCACAGACGUGCUCACGUGGCUUUAGUCACCGGGUUCGGCCUGACGUAACAGCCAGGUACCAAGAAUACACGUUCUUUGGUCGCUCUCCCUCAUGACCCUGCACAAGUUUUCGUUCCACUGGGGGAGGGGGUGGGGGGUUUCAGUCCUAGCCGUUUCUCCAGCCCACUGCAGGGCGUAUCGCUGUUCUACCGCAAGUCACGACCUGUUACUAAAUGAAGAAAGCAGGGUUCUAAGAACAGAAUUUAAACAGAUUCAUGCCUACAUAGUUCGCUGCCUCCUUCAUAUAGACAUCUCCGUACUCUCGUGCCCAUUGUAGCUUCGUCCGUACGUAGUGACAGUAGAUCUCGUACCGUCGCUGUUACAAUAACGACCUCCGAGCUCACGGGCCGUACUACUACUUUUACUUCGACCUUACCUUACCGCGGUCUCGUCCUCCUGCUCUGCUCAUACAUGGUCUGUUUUUCUAUGUUUAAAGAUGAUAUACUGUUAGUUCUCCUGUUCUAAACUACAGAUAAUUGGAGCGGUUUGAAAUGAUCUCCUGUUCUAAAAAAGCCCACUGUUACAUGCCCGUAAGGAAAUCAUAUAAUAUUAUCGAAAACUACAGAUAAUUGGAGCGGUUUGAAAUGAUCUCAGCUAUUUGUACGGAAGAAUUAUUUUUGGUUUACGUACGUACAUUUAGAAAAGACUGUAUGUUUGUGUUCCGCAGGCAGG
rnacentral:rRNA from 1 species